rnacentral:rRNA from 1 species
AGUCACGAGUUUGAUCAUGGCUCAGAUUGAACGCUGGCGGAAUGCUUUACACAUGCAAGUCGAACGGUAGAGGGGGCAACCCCUUGAGAGUGGCGAACGGGUGAGUAAUAUAUCGGAACGUGCCCAGUCGUGGGGGAUAACGUAGCGAAAGUUACGCUAAUACCGCAUACGAUCUAUGGAUGAAAGCGGGGGAUCGCAAGACCUCGCGCGAUUGGAGCGGCCGAUAUCAGAUUAGGUAGUUGGUGAGGUAAAGGCUCACCAAGGCGACGAUCUUUAGCUGGUCUGAGAGGAUGAUCAGCCACACUGGGACUGAGACACGGCCCAGACUCCUACGGGAGGCAGCAGUGGGGAAUAUUGGACAAUGGGCGAAAGCCUGAUCCAGCAAUGCCGCGUGAGUGAUGAAGGCCUUAGGGUUGUAAAGCUCUUUUACCCGAGAUGAUAAUGACAGUAUCGGGAGAAUAAGCUCCGGCUAACUCCGUG